rnacentral:rRNA from 1 species
GACGAACGCUGGCGGCGUGCUUAACACAUGCAAGUCGAACGGAAAGGCCUGCUUUCCCUUGUGGAUUGCGGGUACUCGAGUGGCGAACGGGUGAGUAACACGUGAGUGAUCUGCCCCCAACUUGGGUAUAAGCCUGGGAAACUGGGUCUAAUUCCCGAUAGGACUGCAGGGUGGUGCCUGUGGUGGAAAACGAUUUUCUAGUGGUUGGGGAUGAGCUCGCGGCCUAUCAGCUUGUUGGUGGGGUAAUGGCCUACCAAGGCGGCGACGGGUAGCCGGCCUGAGAGGGUGGACGGCCACAUUGGGACUGAGAUACGGCCCAGACUCCUACGGGAGGCAGCAGUGGGGAAUAUUGCACAAUGGGCGGAAGCCUGAUGCAGCGACGCCGCGUGGGGGAUGACGGCCUUCGGGUUGUAAUCUCCUUUCGACCGCGAGGAAGCCACCUGGUUGGAAGGGUGGUGACGGUAGUGGUAGAAGAAGCACCGGCUAACUACGUG